rnacentral:rRNA from 1 species
UACGGGGGGGGCAAGCGUUGUUCGGAAUUACUGGGCGUAAAGGGCUCGUAGGCGGCCAACUAAGUCAGACGUGAAAUCCCCUCGGCUUAACCGGGGAACUGCAUCUGAUACUGGAUGGCUUGAGUUCGGGAGAGGGAUGCGGAAUUCCAGGUGUAGCGGUGAAAUGCGCAGAUAUCGGGAGGAACACCAGUGGCGAAGGCGGCGACCUGGGCCAAUACUGACGCUGAGGUGCGAAAGCGUGGGGAGCAAACAGG